GAACCGGAAGGCGUGGGGUAAGUGCUGAUCCCCAGCAUGGCGGCCCCCUGGGCCUCCGGGCCGGCUGCUUCCGACACUGUGGCCGCCCGUCUCCUAGGUGUCCUGUGGUUCGUGUUAGUCACCACGGGACCUUGCGGAGCUGCCGCCGGCGGCGGGGAGGAGACACUUAAGUGCGAGGACCUCAAAGUAGGACAAUAUAUUUGUAAAGAUCCAAAAAUAAAUGAUGCUACACAAGAACCAGUUAACUGUACAAACUACACAGCUCAUGUUCCAUGUUUUCCAGCACCCAACAUAACUUGUAAGGAUUUUGGUGGCAAUGAAACACAUUUUACCGGAAAUGAAGUUGGUUUUCUCAAACCCAUAUCUUGCCGAAAUGUAAAUGGCUAUUCGUACAAAGUGGCAGUUGCACUGUCUCUUUUUCUUGGAUGGUUGGGAGCAGAUCGAUUUUACCUUGGAUACCCUGCCCUGGGUUUGUUAAAGUUUUGCACUGUAGGGUUUUGUGGAAUUGGGAGCCUAAUUGAUUUCAUUCUUAUUUCAAUGCAGGAGGAACAUCCCAUGCAGGGCAGCAGGAUGGAGAGGCCGUAGCAACGAGAACUUUGAUUUCUGGCUUUCGCUCUUUACUCCGGACACUGUUUGGUUUGAAGAGGCCUAAUUAUGCCACUUACACAAGCAGAAACAGUGAAACAGAUCCUUCUGAGUGGGAUCCAGAUCUUAUCUGCGUGCCUGGCUCAAGUGCCACCUCCUCCGCCAAGCCUCCUCCAGCCCAUUGGAAACCCCAUUGCUCCUUAGGGACUUUGGGGGCAUUUAUCCUUUGUCACCACACAGGUAUUUAUGUAAACUUUGUGCUUCAAAUUUAUAUAUACAUCUCCCGUAUCAGAUGAUUAAUGAUGAUAUCUGCCCAAUUCAUCUUCAUGUUCCAAACCCAGGGUUUCUCAGACUCAGUACUACUGGCAUUUGGGGCUGAAUAGUUCUUUGUUGUGGUGGGAUGUCAUGUCUUUUGUAGGCUGUUUAGCAGCAUCCCUGGCCUCCACUCACUAGAUGCCAAUAGCAUCCCCUCACCCUCAGCUGUGACCACCAAAAUUGUCUCCAGGCAUUGUCAAAUGUCCCCUGGAGGACAAAAUCACCCCCAGGAGAACCACUGCCCUAGACCAAGCUUGGAGCUUUGAACAUGGAUGGUUCUCAGUAAAUGCUUAUGAAAGAAAGGAAGGAGUAUGGCUUAGGCUCUGUAAAGUUUAAACAAUAGUGGAAUAUAAAAUUAAUGAUAUAUUCUUUCAGUAAUUGGCAAUCAAAGUAGAGAGUUCCCAUAAGAACUCAGAACUAGAGACAGAGAUUUGAAUGCCACCAGCAUGGAAUCAGCCAAUAGGUAUCUACUGGGUAACAAUGUUUGGGAGUCUGGAGUCAGACAGGAGCUGGAUUCCAAUACUGGCCUCACCACUGUAAGCUGUCACCAUAGGUGAGUAUUUUAAUGUUUCUGAGCUUCAGUUCUCUCAUUCUGUAAAAUGGGGGUAACAAUUGUAACCCACAUGGGGUUGUCAUAAGGAUAAAUUAGAUAAUGCACUUAAAGUGGUUAGCAGAGAGCCUGGAAUGUAGUGGGCACUUAAUAGCAGUUCAAAGCUAUUAUUAAUAUUGCAAUUGUUAUUGUAAUAAUGGUUCACGUCUCAUCCUCUCAGAGGUCAUGACAGUGUUAUUUCCAUUUCAUAGAUGGGUUGUGGUUAGAAUCUGGGUCUUCAGAUCUCCAACUUGCACUACUACAUCAUCAUUUAUCUGACAAAAUGCAAAUGGAGUCUCAUUUACAGGAAGAAUCUUCACUUUUUAAAUUUGGAAACUGAGUGCUAACUGCCUACAGCAACAAUUCUUGUUCAACUGUUUCCCCUUCUCUUCGUGAGCGGCAGCCCCCUGACCACUCCAGAACUGCUAACAUCUGUUGAAACCUUGUCUCUGCUGACUUUUCUAAAGAGUUGAACUUUUAAAAGUGCCUGCACUUUUCAGCCUGGAGAAAUCCAGAUUAAGGAGUUUCUAGGCACUUUCCCAGGGAGUCCUGCGUUUCGUGCAAGGAGCUGCGAGUUCUACGACAGCACGUAAAUCGUCUUUCCAUUUCAUCUGGAUGCAAGGACAGCACCUGAAUGCGAACCUUGCCAGAAACGCGUGCUACCUUGUUCUCCCCUCAGUUUAAAUUGUGUGCUCUGUCUCUUCCUUAAAAAAUGGUUUUCAAGUGGCCAUUGGGUUGGGUCUUGAAUGAUUUUACUUCACAGUGAAGUUGAAAAGAAAAAAAAAAAAGCCUGAUCAUGCCUUCUUUGCUAAUUUUU